rnacentral:rRNA from 1 species
UACACAUGCAAGUCGAGCGGCAGCGGAAAGUAGCUUGCUACUUUGCCGGCGAGCGGCGGACGGGUGAGUAAUGUCUGGGAAACUGCCUGAUGGAGGGGGAUAACUACUGGAAACGGUAGCUAAUACCGCAUGACCUCGAAAGAGCAAAGUGGGGGAUCUUCGGACCUCACGCCAUCGGAUGUGCCCAGAUGGGAUUAGCUAGUAGGUGAGGUAAUGGCUCACCUAGGCGACGAUCCCUAGCUGGUCUGAGAGGAUGACCAGCCACACUGGAACUGAGACACGGUCCAGACUCCUACGGGAGGCAGCAGUGGGGAAUAUUGGACAAUGGGCGAAAGCCUGAUCCAGCCAUGCCGCGUGUGUGAAGAAGGUCUUCGGAUUGUAAAGCACUUUAAGUUGGGAGGAAGGGCAUUAACCUAAUACGUUGGUGUCUUGACGUUACCGACAGAAUAAGCACCGGCUAACUCU